rnacentral:rRNA from 1 species
UACAGAGGUCUCAAGCGUUGUUCGGAUUCAUUGGGCGUAAAGGGUGCGUAGGCGGCGCGGUAAGUCGGGUGUGAAAUCUUGGAGCUUAACUCCGAAACUGCAUUCGAUACUGCCGUGCUUGAGGACUGGAGAGGAGACUGGAAUUUACGGUGUAGCGGUGAAAUGCGUAGAUAUCGUAAGGAAGACCAGUGGCGAAGGCGGCGCUCUGGACCGAGACUGACGCUGAGGCGCGAAAGCCAGGGGAGCAAACGGG